rnacentral:lncRNA from 1 species
CUUAACUAACAACUCUUUCUUCAAGAAAAGGUUAGGAACCUUACAACUCUCUUUGCUGCUAUUUUCAUCACUUUUUUCUUUUACUUUUGCUUAACAGGAACCCAUUACUCAUGCUUUUGAAGAUUUUCCAUCACAGUACUAGUGGAGAAGAGUGAACAUGUCCUUCCCAGGAGCCUGAAAUAGUACCUGAAGUGCCCAAUCUAGAACAUGUCUGCUAGAAACUUGGACUUCCACAAAGAUCUCUCAUUUGUGGGUGAUUGUUUAAGAGUGUGUUCUCCAGCUGCUCCCAGGCCACAUCCAAGAGAGGCAGAGACUGGAGCAGUUUCAUGGUCCACUUCAGGGUCCACAGUUGGAACCAAGGAGAUUCUGGAUGCUGGGCUGAUGACAAAAGUGGAUGACUG